rnacentral:lncRNA from 1 species
GUGCCAGUGUUACGGAGAGUAUAAAAUAAUAUAGAAUAACUCCCUGCCUUGUUCUGCUUCUGUAACUUGCUUCACUUGCUUGUUUCUCUUCUCAGAAUAUUGUUUCACUUCUCAGAACAGCAAUAUCAGAUGCUUCGCCAUUAACCACAGAUGGGAAACUCCAUAUCAAAUUCCCUUAGUCCUUUGGAAUAUAUCUCUUAAGCACUGCAAAUUGUUUGACACACAUUCUGAGAAAGAGCU